AUUGAACGCUGGCGGCAGGCCUAACACAUGCAAGUCGAACGAGUGGCGGACGGGCGAGUAAUGUCUGGGAAACUGGCUGAUGGAGGGGGAUAACUACGGGAAACGGUAGCUAAUACUGCAUACCAUCCGUUGUGCCCAUAUGGGAUUGGCUAGUGGGUGGGGUAAAGGCUCACCUAGGCGACGAUCCCUACCUGGUAUGGGAGGAUGAGCAGCCACGCGUGAACUGAGACACGGUCCAGACUCCUACGGGAGGCAGCAGUGGGGAAUAUUGGACAAUGGGCGAAAGUCUGAUGCAGCCAUGCCGCGUGUAUGAAGAAGGCCUUCGGGUUGUAAAGUUCUUUCGUCAGAGAGGCGUUACCCGCAGAGAAAGCACCGGCUAACUCCGUGCCAGCCGCCGCGGUAAUAC
rnacentral:rRNA from 1 species